rnacentral:tRNA from 2 species
GCCGGCGUAGCUCAGUUGGUAGAGCAGCUGAUUCGUAAUCAGCAGGUCGAGGGUUCGAGUCCCCCCGCCGGCUCCA